rnacentral:misc_RNA from 1 species
AAAAACUCCAAUUUUAGGGCUUUUUCAUCAAAACAACCGGAGAAACUCAGAUCUUAGGCCUUGAGAACCAAAGCGACAUCAAAAACACAAAAUUCCAUGGCUUUUUUAGUCAAAUCAACCAGAAAAACUCCUAUUUUAGGCCUUCUCAUUAAACCGACGAAAAAAACUCGAAUAUAAACCUUUAAAAUCAAAUCGACGGAAAAACACUCAAAUUAGGGGCUUUCUCAUCAAAACAACGAAAGGAACUCCAAUUGUAGGCAUUCUCCGACAAAACAACAUGAAAAAACUCAAUUGUUAGGUAUUUUCCAUCAAAACAACCGAAAAAAACUCAAAAUUUAGGGCUUUAACAGCACCUGAUUAACUAAACUCAGAAUCUAAACAAACAAAAACCAAAAAAUAGAGAAAAAUUCUAACCUUGAAAGAGAAAUUUGAAGGCA